AAAGUCGUAACAAGGUUUCCGUAGGUGAACCUGCAGAAGGAUCAUUAUCAUAGGGCUCCGGCCCCGUCGAGAUAGCACCCUUGCCUUUACAGUACCGCCCGUUUCCUCAGCAGGCUCGCCUGCCAAUAGGGACAGCAAAACACCCUAAUACCACCUGUAACCGUCUAAUAAAACAAACAAAAAUCAAAACUUUCAACAACAGAUCUCUUGGUUCUA
rnacentral:misc_RNA from 1 species